rnacentral:ncRNA from 1 species
CUCAUGAGUGCAGAAAUCACUUUCCUGGGGAAUCCUAUAUAUAGUCGAUCAGAUAUUAGAGAGGUGAUACAUGCAGAGAUUCCCCUAGGCAAGAGCGGGGGUGCAAUUAUUAGAUCAGACCAAACGUUCUCGGACGAAGUAAUAGGACUGUGACUAAAGCAGUCUAAUGUCAUAUCAGUCUGACAAUAUCAGAAAUGGGUGUCUGGCCUUUCAUCUAGAUGGUAGUUCAUUGGACUACCAUGGUUGAUACGGGUAACGGUGAAUAAGGGUUAGAUUCCGGUGAGGGAGCUUCAGAAACGGUUACCCUGUCCAUUGCAGGCAGCAGGCCCGAAACUUAUGAAGCCAGAGUAUGAGAUAUAUUUCAG